rnacentral:rRNA from 1 species
UACAGAGGGGGCAAGCGUUGUUCGGAAUUACUGGGCGUAAAGGGCGCGUAGGUGGCCUUCUAAGUUGAACGUGAAAUCCCUGGGCUCAACCCAGGAACUGCGUCCAAGACUGGGAGGCUUGAAUCCGGGAGAGGGAUGCGGAAUUCCAGGUGUAGCGGUGAAAUGCGUAGAUAUCUGGAGGAACACCGGUGGCGAAGGCGGCAUCCUGGACCGGCAUUGACACUGAGGCGCGAAAGCCAGGGGAGCAAACGGG